rnacentral:rRNA from 1 species
GUAAAAUCCUGUAAUCCCGGAAAGACGACCAGUGGCGAAAGCGUUAACUAGAACGAAUCUGACGGUAAGGAACGAAGGCUAGGGUAGCAAACCGGAUUAGAUACCCGGGUAGUCCUAGCUGUAAACAUUGCCCAUUUGAUGUUGCUUUCCCGUUGAGGGAAGGCAGUGUCGGAGCGAAGGUGUUAAAUGGGCCGCUUGGGAAGUAUGGUCGCAAGACUGAAACUUAAAGGAAUUGGCGGGGGAGCUCCGCAACGGGAGGAAUGUGCGGUUUAAUUGGAUUCAACGCCGGAAAACUCACCGGGAACGACCUGUGCAUGAGAGUCAACUUGACGAGCUUACUCGAUAGCAGGAGAGGUGGUGCAUGGCCGUCGUCAGCUCGUACCGUAGGGCGUUCACUUAAGUGUGAUAACGAGCGAGACCCACAUCUUUAAUUGCAAAUGUAUAUGGGAAUAUGCAUGCACUUUAGAGAAACCGCCAGCGCUAAGCUGGAGGAAGGAGUGGUCGACGGCAGGUCAGUACGCCCCGAAUUUCCCGGGCUACACGCGCAUUACAAAGAACGGGACAAUACGUUGCAACCUCGAAAGAGAGGAG